rnacentral:rRNA from 1 species
GCAAGUCGAGCGAACGGACGAGAAGCUUGCUUCUCUGAUGUUAGCGGCGGACGGGUGAGUAACACGUGGAUAACCUACCUAUAAGACUGGGAUAACUUCGGGAAACCGGAGCUAAUACCGGAUAAUAUUUUGAACCGCAUGGUUCAAAAGUGAAAGACGGUCUUGCUGUCACUUAUAGAUGGAUCCGCGCUGCAUUAGCUAGUUGGUAAGGUAACGGCUUACCAAGGCAACGAUGCAUAGCCGACCUGAGAGGGUGAUCGGCCACACUGGAACUGAGACACGGUCCAGACUCCUACGGGAGGCAGCAGUAGGGAAUCUUCCGCAAUGGGCGAAAGCCUGACGGAGCAACGCCGCGUGAGUGAUGAAGGUCUUCGGAUCGUAAAACUCUGUUAUUAGGGAAGAACAUAUGUGUAAGUAACUGUGCACAUCUUGACGGUACCUAAUCAGAAAGCCACGGCUAACUACGUGCCAGCAGCCGCGGUAAUACGUAGGUGGCAAGCGUUAUCCGGAAUUAUUGGGCGUAAAGCGCGCGUAGGCGGUUUUUUAAGUCUGAUGUGAAAGCCCACGGCUCAACCGUGGAGGGUCAUUGGAAACUGGAAAACUUGAGUGCAGAAGAGGAAAGUGGAAUUCCAUGUGUAGCGGUGAAAUGCGCAGAGAUAUGGAGGAACACCAGUGGCGAAGGCGACUUUCUGGUCUGUAACUGACGCUGAUGUGCGAAAGCGUGGGGAUCAAACAGGAUUAGAUACCCUGGUAGUCCACGCCGUAAACGAUGAGUGCUAAGUGUUAGGGGGUUUCCGCCCCUUAGUGCUGCAGCUAACGCAUUAAGCACUCCGCCUGGGGAGUACGACCGCAAGGUUGAAACUCAAAGGAAUUGACGGGGACCCGCACAAGCGGUGGAGCAUGUGGUUUAAUUCGAAGCAACGCGAAGAACCUUACCAAAUCUUGACAUCCUU